rnacentral:rRNA from 1 species
UGGGGAAUAUUGCACAAUGGGCGAAAGCCUGAUGCAGCGACGCCGCGUGAGGGAUGACGGCCUUCGGGUUGUAAACCUCUUUCAGCAGGGACGAAGCGCAAGUGACGGUACCUGCAGAAGAAGCACCGGCUAACUACGUGCCAGCAGCCGCGGUAAUACGUAGGGUGCAAGCGUUGUCCGGAAUUAAUGGGCGUAAAGAGUUCGUAGGCGGUUUGUCGCGUCGGUUGUGAAAACCAGGAGCGCAACUGCUGGCUUGCAGGCGAUACGCGCAGACUUGAGUACUGCAGGGGAGACUGAAGUUCUUGGUGUAGCGGUGAAAUGCGCAGAUAUCAGGAGGAAAACCGGUGGCGAAGGCGGGUCUCUGGGCAGUAACUGACGCUGAGGAACGAAAGCGUGGGUAGCGAACAGG